rnacentral:rRNA from 1 species
AUCGAUGAAGAACGCAGCGAAAUGCGAUAAGUAAUGUGAAUUGCAGAAUUCAGUGAAUCAUCGAAUCUUUGAACGCACCUUGCGCUCCUUGGUAUUCCGAGGAGCAUGCCUGUUUGAGUGUCAUUAAAUUCUCAACCCUUUCAGCUUUUGCGAGCUGGAUUGGCUUGGAUGUGGGGGUUUGCGGGCUUCUCAGAAGUCGGCUCCUCUUAAAUACAUUAGCGGAACCUUUGUGGACCAGCUUUGGUGUGAUAAUUAUCUACGCCGUGGUUGUGAAGCAGCUUUAUAUGGGGUUCAGCUUCUAACCGUCCAUUGAUUUGGACAAUUUCUGACAUUUUGACCUCAAAUCAGGUAGGACUACCCGCUGAACUUAAGCAUAUCAAUAAGCGGAGGAAAAGAAACUAACAAGGAUUCCCCUAGUAACUGCGAGUGAAGCGGGAAAAGCUCAAAUUUAAAAUCUGGCGGUCCUUGUGGCUGUCCGAGUUGUAAUCUAGAGAAGUGCUAUCCGCGCUGGACCGUGUACAAGUCUCCUGGAACGGAGCGUCAUAGAGGGUGAGAAUCCCGUCUUUGACACGGACUACCAGGGCUUUGUGAUGUGCUCUCAAAGAGUCGAGUUGUUUGGGAAUGCAGCUCUAAAUGGGUGGUAAAUUCCAUCUAAAGCUAAAUAUUGGCGAGAGACCGAUAGCGAACAAGUACCGUGAGGGAAAGAUGAAAAGAACUUUGGAAAGAGAGUUAAACAGUACGUGAAAUUGCUAAAAGGGAAACGCUUGAAGUCAGUCGCGUUGUCCAGGGAUCAGCCUUCCUUCUGGUUGGUGUACUUCCUGGUUGACGGGUCAGCAUCAGUUUUGACCGGUGGAUAAGAGUGAGAGGAAUGUGGCAUCUUCGGGUGUGUUAUAGCCUUUCAUUGUAUACAUCGGUUGGGACUGAGGAACUCAGCACGCCGCAAGGCCGGGUUUUUAACCACGUUCGUGCUUAGGAUGCUGGCAUAAUGGCUUUAAUCGACCCGUCUUGAAACACGG